GACGAACGCUGGCGGCGUGCUUAACACAUGCAAGUCGAACGGAAAGGCCCUGCUUUUGUGGGGUGCUCGAGUGGCGAACGGGUGAGUAACACGUGAGUAACCUGCCCUUGACUUUGGGAUAACUUCAGGAAACUGGGGCUAAUACCGGAUAGGAGCUCCUGCUGCAUGGUGGGGGUUGGAAAGUUUCGGCGGUUGGGGCUGGACUCGCGGCUUAUCAGCUUGUUGGUGGGGUAGUGGCUUACCAAGGCUUCGACGGGUAGCCGGCCUGAGAGGGUGACCGGCCACAUUGGGACUGGGGUACGGCCCAGACGGCUACGGGAGGCAGCGGUGGGAAUAUUACACAAUGGGCGGAAGCCAGAUGCAGAAACGCCGCGUGCGGGAUGACGGCCUUCGGGUUAUAAACAGCUUUCGCCUGUGACGAAGCGUGAGUGACGGUAAUGGGUAAAGAAGCACCGGCUAACUACGUG
rnacentral:rRNA from 1 species